rnacentral:lncRNA from 1 species
AGCGUGGCACCAUCCCAGUGUCCUUAUGAAGCAUUCCCAGUGCAGUGUGGGCCAUGGGAUGGUGCCAGUGCAGCUGAGCUGCUGUGUGCUGCACAGCCCGCGUACCUGUGCUUGUGACGGUGAUACCCGUCAAUGAAUUCGCACCGGAGUGCCCCAAUGGCAUCAUCUUCACCGUGUCAGAGACAGCACCUUUUGGCAGCAUCGUGGGGCGUGUGGUUGGCACUGACCGUGACCGCCCACCAGACAGCCUCGAGUACAGCCUGGAGGGGGGCACUGGCCCUGCACAGCCCUUCUCCAUCGAUGCACGCACCGGUGAGAUCCGUGUGGUGGGGCCCCUCGGCCCCCCGCGGCGUGCUGGCUACCGGCUGACGGUGCGGCUGACGGACACCCACAAUGAUCUGGACCCAUUGAACCGGCGGAGCCACCUGUGUGAUGUGGCUGUGCGCCUGCAGGCAAUGAGGAUGGGCACUUUCGGCAGGAGGGGAGCAUGCUCUCCUACAUCCCCAAUGGCCUGGCUGAGCCCCGCACAUUCGUGCUGCUGGUGGAGGUGUGGGGCAGCACUGGGUCCCCACGCCGCAGCACCGUGGUGGCACUGGUGGUGCACGUCACACCCCGCAGCACCGCAGCGCCACCCAGCACCACCACCCUGCACACGACGCUGCAGAAGGAGCCGCUGGUGGUCAGGCGGACGGAGCUGGCUUGGCUCCCACCAGCUUGGUUUGUGGUAGUGCUGACUGCAACCUGUGCCCUGUUCCUGGCCAGCCUGUGCUGUGUGGCACACAGCUUGCUGUGCAGCAGCCAAAACCCCAGCAAGGUGCUUCUGAGCGAGAGGUGGGUGCUGGGCAGUGGUGAAGAUACCCGUGGUGUCCCUGCAGCCAUGUGGGGAGACGUGGCACUUGGGGAGGGGAUGUUGAUGUCACCAGGGAGUUGCUCUGAGGAGCAGCCUCUGCUUUAG